UCGAUUGAGUUUGAUCAUGGCUCAGAUUGAACGCUGGCGGCAUGCCUUACACAUGCAAGUCGAACGGCAGCACAGGGGCAACCCUGGUGGCGAGUGGCGAACGGGUGAGUAAUGCAUCGGAACGUGCCCAGUAGUGGGGGAUAACUAGUCGAAAGAUUAGCUAAUACCGCAUACGACCUAUGGGUGAAAGCGGGGGAUUCGCAAGAACCUCGCGCUAUCGGAGCGGCCGAUGUCUGAUUAGCUAGUUGGCGGGGUAAAAGCCCACCAAGGCUUCGAUCAGUAGCUGGUCUGAGAGGACGACCAGCCACACUGGGACUGAGACACGGCCCAGACUCCUACGGGAGGCAGCAGUGGGGAAUUUUGGACAAUGGGCGCAAGCCUGAUCCAGCCAUGCCGCGUGCGGGAAGAAGGCCUUCGGGUUGUAAACCGCUUUUGGCAGGAACGAAACGGCGCGAGCGAAUAUCUCGCGUUAAUGACGGUACCUGCAGAAUAAGCACCGGCUAACUACGUGCCAGCAGCCGCGGUAAUACGUAGGGUGCAAGCGUUAAUCGGAAUUACUGGGCGUAAAGCGUACGCAGGCGGCUUUGCAAGACAGGUGUGAAAUCCCCGGGCCUAACCUGGGAACUGCAUUUGUGACUGCAUGGCUAGAGUUUGUCAGAGGGGGGUGGAAUUCCACGUGUAGCAGUGAAAUGCGUAGAU
rnacentral:rRNA from 1 species